rnacentral:misc_RNA from 1 species
AAAGUACAUCCUACUUGAGAAGGCGAAGAACAGCACGUCAGGGACAACAAACUCCAAACAAACACCUGCGGAUGCAAAAUCUCCUCACAUCUCGACCUCGGGUUACAAUCGCAGAAAAUUCAGAGAGUGAAGAUGGCCUGACCAGUGAUAUUUUGAGGAUCGCUGGAAAAAUUUCUAGGAAGAUUGAAAGAAAAGAGAAAAAGCGCAAAAAGUCUGAGUCUAACAAUGCAGAUGUGGACAAUGCAAACAGCAGACUCCUAGAUAGUCGGCGUGUUCUGGAAAUGCCUACUGAUAAAAAAAGAAAGUCCAAGCAAGAAGCUAUGUCCCCCUCGGAGAAGGAGCAGGCAGCUGAAAGGGAUGCGCAAUCUCCUGUGAAAAAGGAGAAGCACAAACUGAACAAGUCAGUGGUCAGAGACUCGGUUACAGAGAAUGGAGUGAAAUCUGACACUGUGUGCUCUCCGCGAAAAAGGAAACUAACAAACACUGCUACAAGUGAGGCCUCUAGCAAGAAAAAGAAACAUAGUGAAGAUUCAGGUUCUGUUUUGGUGAAUUCUGGAUUUCAUAGUCAAGGUCACACAGAAUCAUCAACCUCAAUGAAGAAAAAACUUCCACAGCACAAGUUCAGAUUUCAGAGGGAAAACUUUCACCCGGUGGAUGGCCCGUCGGCGUCCGAUGGCACGGUUCUGUUACAGAAUCCUCUAACAAAGGCGGAGCUCUGGCUAAUCAAAGCCCCCAGUGAUGUAAGUGUCUGUAGAAUUGAAAUGGAGGAUUGCAUAGGGUCCAGACAAAAAUCACCAAAAUUAAGUAUUCUUUUUAAUUAGUCAUAGAGCACUUUUUUUAUUCCCUGCAACAUUGAAUGUAGUACCAUUACUCAUGCAUAGACACUUGAAGUCUGAUUGUUGAUAGACAGUCACACACGUAUUAGAUAUUGUGAGAUAUUAGAUAUAUAUGAUGCAUAGUUAAAAACAAGAUAGUUAUUAUCCAGCAUGGCUUUUAAUGUAGUUCUAGGAAAAAGAAUGACUUUUACAUAACAUGGGAAUUAUAUUCUUUUGUCUUGUAUAGUUAGACAUAUCCAUGUUGGACAAAAGUAAAGUUUCUUUGUCGGACAAAGUGAUUGAGCUAGAUCUAGCCAGUCAGAAGUGUGAAGUGGUUGUGUCACGGCAGCAAACAGAAUUAUGUCCCCUGGUGAUUGGCCCGACUUCAGGAAAGUUACAACAAGGGGUGGACUUUACUGGUCAGCUACAGAUUAUAAACAAGAUGGACGUUCCCUCGGCUCCCCCCAUACCCGUCCCCCCCAAGAAGGAACAUCCCAUCCCAGACACCCUCAGGCAGAGAUUUAUUCCCUUCGGAGCAGAUGUUCCAGACAGUGUUGUAUCCCCACAGAGGAAGAAACAGAGAAAGAAACACAAGCGAGAAAAAAUGGAGCUGAUAGAGGAGUCAGAAAGCAUGCCCAAAAAGUCCAGGAAGAAGAAGAAAAUGAAAGGAUGAACAUUGUUAUUUCUGUAUUACUACUGUAUCAUUACUGUAUUAUUAUUUCAUUUUAAAUAAAAGAGAUUAUAUAUC